UCCGUAGGCGGAUUAAUAAGUCAGAGGUGAAAUCCCACAGCUUAACUGUGGAACUGCCUUUGAUACUGUUAGUCUUGAGUUAUAUGGAAGUAGAUAGAAUGUGUAGUGUAGCGGUGAAAUGCAUAGAUAUUACACAGAAUACCGAUUGCGAAGGCAGUCUACUACGUAUAUACUGACGCUAAUGGACGAAAGCGUGGGGAGCGAACAGGAUUAGAUACCCCUGGUAGUCC
rnacentral:rRNA from 1 species